rnacentral:misc_RNA from 1 species
AAAAAAAAAAAACAGUGCUCUUCUUUCACGCAGCCAUGUGAACCCACCUUUUGCAGAGUCCCCACACCUCGACUCACCUGCCUGUAUAUAAACCCAACUCCUGUGAACAUUCAACUAGACUCAAAAUCCAAGAUGGGUCUUAGGUGCCAUUUCUUGGUUUCUUUUAUUUUUCGAGUUAUACUUGUGAUUCUCUUUCUCUUGGAGGAAGCAAAAGCACAGCAACACUUCUACAAUGUGAGCACAUUGAGAGGGAGAAAGCAAGUGAGUGGUUGCAAUUUGUUUCAAGGAAGAUGGGUCAUUGAUGCUUCUUAUCCUCUUUAUG